UGGGGAAGUAUUGCACAAUGGGCGGCAAGCCAUGACUGCAGCCAUGCCGCGCUGUAUGAAGAAGGCCAAUUCGGGGCUUUGGUUAAAGAUACUUUUCAGCGAGGAGGAAGGCAUUAAGGUUAAUAACCUUGGUGAUUGACGUUACUCGCAGAAGAAGCACCGGCUAACUCCGUGCCAGCAGCCGCGGUAAUACGGAGGGUGCAAGCGUUAAUCGGAAUUACUGGGCGUAAAGCGCACGCAGGCGGUCUGUCAAGUCGGAUGUGAAAUCCCCGGGCUCAACCUGGGAACUGUAUUCGAAACUGGCAGGCUAGAGUCUUGUAGAGGGG
rnacentral:rRNA from 1 species